UAGAAAACCUGUCUCGACUCCCUUCCCCAAAAGAAAAAGAAGCCAAAAGAAAGGGGUGGUGGUAAAGACAGAGGGGGUUGAGGCAGGAGAGCCAGAAAGCACAUGUAUGAACUGUGCACAGGAUGGACAAUAGAGUGUACACACAGACUAGGUGCAGGAAACACAGAAGAGCCUUAAAGCCUUAGCAACACAGGAACCAACCGAGAUCGGCUUACUCUCUCCGAAGAGAUUUAUGCGAGUGAAGAUUUGAACACAGAACUCUGAUGACAGUCCACGUUUCUUCCUUGACGGAAUGGAUUGCUUUGGUCCCCGUCAUGGUCCACGUAGCAAACUGUGCUGGUGGAGGAGGGGCAGCUUGUAAUCCAGGUCAAACCCACAAAACCUGACUUAUGGGUAUUCGGCUUCCGGGUAGGGUUGAAAUACACCGCCUUUUGAUCAAGUCUCUGUCGCUGCAGUGGGUUCAGCAGUUUUUCAUCCCCGCUUUGUUCACUAGAAGAGGGUGGUGAUGUGAUCCAGGAGGAACUUCUGGAAAAAGUGUGAAAGACUGGGGCAGUUUUCUCCAGUGUGGUGGAGCCUCAUGAUGGGGCCUAUAACUCAGUGUUUGAAUGGGUGUCUGUACUUCAGCUGGCUACACAGCAGAGCUUCUGCAUUGUCUUCAUUUGACACUGCCCUGGGACUCUACAGAGGAAGGUACUGACUGCUCAACACUGGGAUCAGCUUUGCGAAGAGGAGGAGAAUUGCAGCUAUAAACCUGCUGGAUCCAAUUCUCCCUGUCACAGGAGAAAGCUGCCCAUUAUCCCAAGUACAUACUGCCAUCAAACAUCUCGCCAGGUGGCGGUGGAGGCACUAAAGGAGCUGGGUGGCUCAGAAAAAGGGAGGUUUUGGUUUUUUCAAUGAUAGAGAUCACCAGUGGCGAAAGGAGUAUAGACCCAGAAAGGAUAUUUCCUUUCUCUCUCCCAUGUUGGCGGCACCGGCUUGGUAAACAGAAUCGGAGCGAGUAUGGGGAGGGGGCAGGAAAGGGUUCUGAGAAGGUUUGGCAUCCCAGGACUGGGUAGAGUGUGGGGGAAGGGGCAAGCUGAGAUGGAGGGAAUAAGGUGGCGACA